AGAGUUUGAUCCUGGCUCAGGACGAACGCUGGCGGCGUGCUUAACACAUGCAAGUCGAGCGAUGAGAUCACUUCGGUGAAGGAUUAGCGGCGAACGGGUGAGGAACACGUGAAGAAUCUGCCUUCAACUCUGGGAUAACUCCGGGAAACCGGGGCUAAUACCGGAUAUGAGCCUUGAUCGCAUGAUCGGGGCUGGAAAGUUUUUCGGUUGAAGAUGACUUCGCGGCCUAUCAGCUUGUUGGUGAGGUAAUGGCUCACCAAGGCGACGACGGGUAGCCGGCCUGAGAGGGCGACCGGCCACACUGGGACUGAGACACGGCCCAGACUCCUACGGGAGGCAGCAGUGGGGAAUAUUGGGCAAUGGAGGAAACUCUGACCCAGCGACGCCGCGUGCGGGAUGAAGGCCUUCGGGUUGUAAACCGCUUUCAGCAGGGAAUAAGCGCAAGUGAAGGUACCUGCAGAAGAAGCACCGGCUAACUAUGUGCCAGCAGCCGCGGUAAUACAUAGGGUGCAAGCGUUGUCCGGAAUUAUUGGGCGUAAAGAGCUCGUAGGUGGUUUGUUACGUCGGUUGUGAAAUUCAGGGGCUCAACCCCUGACUUGCAGCCGAUACGGGCAAGCUAGAGUUUGGUAGGGGAGACUGGAAUUCCUGGUGUAGCGGUGGAAUGCGCAGAUAUCAGGAGGAACACCGAUGGCGAAGGCAGGUCUCUGGGCCAAUACUGACACUGAGGAGCGAAAGCGUGGGGGAGCGAACAGGAUUAGAUACCCUGGUAGUCCACGCCGUAAACGGUGGGCGCUAGUUGUGCGAACCUUCCACGGUUUGUGCGACGCAGCUAACGCAUUAAGCGCCCCGCCUGGGGAGUACGAUCGCAAGAUUAAAACUCAAAGGAAUUGACGGGGCCCCGCACAAGCAGCGGAGCAUGCGGCUUAAUUCGACGCAACGCGAAGAACCUUACCAAGGCUUGACAUA
rnacentral:rRNA from 1 species